rnacentral:lncRNA from 1 species
UCCAUAUUCUCUGAUAACCCCCUGCAGAAAUAGAUAAACACCAAAGGUCGUGGAAUUCUGUCAGAUAAAACCCUAAUUCUAGAUGUUUGGUGCAUAUUGAUCCUUUUCCAUGUUUAUUUGAUUAUUAAUUUUAGUACUUAUGGACCGUCAACAGUCAUCCCCAGCAGCAACGCUAAAAGCACAUGGAGGUGGUAUUGGAUAACUGAACUCUUGAAAUAAUGAUAUAUACUAUAGAAGGUAAUCCGCAAGCGCAC